AUUGAACGCUGGCGGCAGGCCUAACACAUGCAAGUCGGACGAGUGGCGGACGGGUGAGUAAUGUAUGGGAAUCUGCCUUAUGGAGGGGGAUAACGUCUGGAAACGGUCGCUAAUACCGCAUACCAUCAGAUGAACCCAUAUGGGAUUAGCUGGUUGGUGGGGUAACGGCGCACCUAGGCGACGAUCCCUAGCUGGUCUGAGAGGAUGAUCAGCCACACUGGGACUGAGACACGGGCCAGACUCCUACGGGAGGCAGCAGUGGGGAAUAUUGCACAAUGGGCGCAAGCCUGAUACAACCAUGCCGCGUGUAUGAAGAAGGCCUUCGGGUUGUAAAGUACUUUUAGUCGGGAGGCGUUACCGACAGAAGAAGCACCGGCUAACUCCGUGCCAGCAGCCGCGGUAAUUC
rnacentral:rRNA from 1 species